rnacentral:rRNA from 1 species
GACGAACGCUGGCGGCGUGCUUAACACAUGCAAGUCGAACGGAAAGGCCCUGCUUUUGUGGGGUGCUCGAGUGGCGAACGGGUGAGUAACACGUGAGUAACCUGCCCUUGACUUUGGGAUAACUUCAGGAAACUGGGGCUAAUAUCGGAUAGGAGCUCCUGCUGCAUGGUGGGGGAUGGAAAGUUUCGGCGGUUGGGGAUGGACUAGCGGCUUAUCCGCUUGUUGGUGGGGUAGUGGCUUACCAAGGCUUUGACGGGUAGCCGGCCUGAGAGGGUGACCGGCCACAUUGGGACUGAGAUACGGCCCAGAAGCCUACGGGAGGCAGCAGUGGAGAAUAUUGCACAAUGGGCGGAAGCCUGAUGCAGCAACGCCGCGUGCGGGAUGACGGCCUUCGGGUUGUAAACCGCUUUCGCCUGUGACGAAGCGUGAGUGACGGUAAUGGGUAAAGAAGCACCGGCUAACUACGUG